AUUGAACGCUGGCGGCAUGCCUUACACAUGCAAGUCGAACGGCAGCACGGGAGCAAUCCUGGUGGCGAGUGGCGAACGGGUGAGUAAUAUAUCGGAACGUGCCCAGUCGUGGGGGAUAACGUAGCGAAAGCUACGCUAAUACCGCAUACGAUCUACGGAUGAAAGCGGGGGAUCGCAAGACCUCGCGCGAUUGGAGCGGCCGAUAUCAGAUUAGCUAGUUGGUGGGGUAAAAGCUCACCAAGGCGACGAUCUGUAGCUGGUCUGAGAGGACGACCAGCCACACUGGAACUGAGACACGGUCCAGACUCCUACGGGAGGCAGCAGUGGGGAAUUUUGGACAAUGGGCGCAAGCCUGAUCCAGCAAUGCCGCGUGCAGGAUGAAGGCCUUCGGUUGUAAACUGCUUUGUACGGUAACGAAACGGUGAGCUCUAAUAAAGACUUGCUAAUGACGGUACCGUAAGAAUAAGACACCGGCUAACUACGUGCC
rnacentral:rRNA from 1 species